UCUACGAGAGGGAAGGAAAGGACAAAGAAGUCAGAUGGUUGAGAAAUUACAGUAUGGAACCAUUUCAAUAUUACAAUGUCCAAUUAGGUGGUUAUCUGUCCUAAAUCCAGUGGUAAACUUUUAUUUGAUGUCUUAAAUUAUUCAAAGGCAAUAGAUUAAUAACAACGAUCAACGACAUUAUAAUAAAAAAGUUGGCUAGUACACAUUAUUCUUAUGCAACAAAAUAUGGAAUGGGAUACUUUAAUUAUUAGUGGGUAGUAGCCUAUAGACUUGCGUUAUUUACUAGGGUGAAUACCACCAAUUUUCUUCAAAAGAAUACAUCAACAUGUCAGCAGUUGCAUAAAUAUUCUAUGUGUAGUAGCUCUAAUAUGUCACAAUUGGCUCUGAAAGGCAUGCACCGCCAUGGUGCAAAGGUCUUAUUUAGUUUCUCUAACAUUAAAGGCACCCAGUGCAACUUUAUGUAAACAUUCAAUGAAAAAUAAACAUUCAAUUUCUAGUCUUUUUUACACGUAGUAAGUUUCAAUAACUCCAUACCAUUACAUAUCGACAUUCAAGGAGCAAAGAUGAGACGUCGUUGUGUGGUGAGAACUGAUAGAAAAUCGUAAACAACAACAAUCGCCGGUGGGGAGAAGCCAUUUUUCCAUUGACUGGAAGCCUGCUUUAUUUAUUGUAGGUUACAAAAAAUAAAGAAAAUGGCGGCAUUGUUGUUGUUAUCGAUUUUCUAUCAGUUCUCACCACACAACGACGUCUCAUCUUUGCUGCUUGAAUGUCGGUAUGUAAUGGUAUGGAGUUAUUGAAA